CAUUUUCUUGGUGAUUUAAUAAGGUGAAAAUAUCAAAUAUUGUCACAUGAAAUUGACAUGAACUUCAAUGCCACAGAGAAUUGAGAAUGUUCAAGCGAGUGCGGAUUCUAUCAGAAGAGAGAGGUGUACGAUCAGAUUUGUUAGUAGCAGAUAGAGACCACCAAUGAACUCCCGGAUGGGUGAUGAUGGAAGAUGAUCGCC